GAUACUUGGUGUGAAUUGCAGAAUCCCGUGAACCAUCGAGUCUUUGAACGCAAGUUGCGCCCGAAGCCGUUAGGCCGAGGGCACGUCUGCCUGGGCGUCUCGC
rnacentral:rRNA from 1 species